ACCGCUCCCUGUUCAGAAGCACCAAUCAGGGCGGGGGGGUCCCAUUGCGUGUUAAUCACUGCUCAUGGACAGACAUUCAUUUUCCCUUGUGGAGGGGAGGGGCUUAGAAGACUGUUUUGGGCUUUAAAAGAAAGGGGGGAGGGACUGAGACGUUGUUGAUGUUCAAUUUUUUGGGGCUAAGUCCUGGAUCUUCACAAUCCUAUCUACAGCACCUUUAAAUGUGGUUUUCUGAC